UGUAAAUUGUACAUACAGAAAGCCACUGUCUGUCAUAAAAGUCGCAUUGUGGAAAACAGCGUAUUUUCUUUGGCACCCGACAGUUGUUAAUUGACGUCUGCCCGUUAUAGCACUUUCGAAAAACAAUUUUGGUAAAUUUCAACAGGCAUCAAUAUGAGUAAAACAAUUGAUCGUGAUAGCGAUUCGGAUAAAGAAGUAUGGUUGCGUUGUAAGUACUGUUCAGUGGAUAUACCGAAAUGGGCGAUGGAACAGCAUGAACUCGAAGAGCACCAGUGUCGAUAUUGUGAAUUUAAAUAUCCAAAUGAAUUUUUGCCCAAUCAUGUAUUGAGAAUGCAUUCACGACUCUGCGAAUAUUGUGAAUAUAAAAUCCGAGUGGAUCUAUUCGAUGCACACAUUCAACAAGAGCAUCACCAUGAAGCAAGCGUUUGCCGUGUGUCUGGCCUCACCGAUGACCAAUUCAACGAAAUGAUCAAACAGAAUCUGAUUUUUGUGCGUGACGGUGUCAUUUAUGCCUAUAGACUAUGAAAUUGACAUCAAAGGAAGCACACCUUGGCAGAAAGACCAUGGCAGAUGGACAGAAACUAAAGCAUAUUCAGUUGAAUUGUUGGUUUUUCUUUCUGGAAAUUUAUGCAAAUAAAACUGAACAUUUGAGAUUGAAAA